rnacentral:tRNA from 1 species
GCGGGGAUGCCGGAGUGGCCAAAUUCCCCUAAAAAGGAAGGCUUUACGGGUUAGCCUCAAGAGCUAAUGGCUAAGUGCCUACGCAGGUUCGAAACCUGCUCCCCGCA